UGAGGUUAAGCGACUAAGCGUACACGGUGGAUGCCCUGGCAGUCAGAGGCGAUGAAGGACGUGCUAAUCUGCGAAAAGCGCCGGCGAGGUGAUAUGAACCCUUGACCCGGCGAUGUCCGAAUGGGGAAACCCAGUGCAAUUCGUUGCACUAUCGUUAACUGAAUACAUAGGUUAACGAGGCGAACCGGGGGAACUGAAACAUCUAAGUACCCCGAGGAAAAGAAAUCAACCGAGAUUCCCCCAGUAGCGGCGAGCGAACGGGGAGCAGCCCGGAGUCUGAAUCAGCUUGUGUGUUAGUGGAACGGUCUGGAAAGUCCGACGGUACAGGGUGAUAGUCCCGUACACGAAAGCACACAUGCUGUGAACUCGAAGAGUAGGGCGGGACACGUGGUAUCCUGUCUGAAUAUGGGGGGACCAUCCUCCAAGGCUAAAUACUCCUGACUGACCGAUAGUGAACCAGUACCGUGAGGGAAAGGCGAAAAGAACCCCGGCGAGGGGAGUGAAAAAGAACCUGAAACCGUGUACGUACAAGCAGUGGGAGCCUCUUUAUGGGGUGACUGCGUACCUUUUGUAUAAUGGGUCAGCGACUUAUAUUCUGUAGCAAGGUUAACCGUAUAGGGGAGCCGAAGGGAAACCGAGUCUUAACUGGGCGUUAAGUUGCAGGGUAUAGACCCGAAACCCGGUGAUCUAGCCAUGGGCAGGUUGAAGGUUGGGUAACACUAACUGGAGGACCGAACCGACUAAUGUUGAAAAAUUAGCGGAUGACCUGUGGCUGGGGGUGAAAGGCCAAUCAAACCGGGAGAUAGCUGGUUCUCCCCGAAAGCUAUUUAGGUAGCGCCUCGUGAACUCAUCUUCGGGGGUAGAGCACUGUUUCGGCUAGGGGGCCAUCCCGGCUUACCAACCCGAUGCAAACUACGAAUACCGAAGAAUGUUAUCACGGGAGACACACGGCGGGUGCUAACGUCCGUCGUGAAGAGGGAAACAACCCAGACCGCCAGCUAAGGUCCCAAAGUCAUGGUUAAGUGGGAAACGAUGUGGGAAGGCACAGACAGCCAGGAUGUUGGCUUAGAAGCAGCCAUCAUUUAAAGAAAGCGUAAUAGCUCACUGGUCGAGUCGGCCUGCGCGGAAGAUGUAACGGGGCUAAACCAUGCACCGAAGCUGCGGCAGCGACACUAUGUGUUGUUGGGUAGGGGAGCGUUCUGUAAGCCGUUGAAGGUGUGCUGUGAGGCAUGCUGGAGGUAUCAGAAGUGCGAAUGCUGACAUAAGUAACGAUAAAGCGGGUGAAAAGCCCGCUCGCCGGAAGACCAAGGGUUCCUGUCCAACGUUAAUCGGGGCAGGGUGAGUCGACCCCUAAGGCGAGGCCGAAAGGCGUAGUCGAUGGGAAACAGGUUAAUAUUCCUGUACUUGGUGUUACUGCGAAGGGGGGACGGAGAAGGCUAUGUCAGCCGGGCGACGGUUGUCCCGGUUUAAGCAUGUAGGCGGAGGUUCCAGGUAAAUCCGGUACCUUAUUAACGCUGAGGUGUGAUGACGAGGCACUACGGUGCUGAAGUGAUAAAUGCCCUGCUUCCAGGAAAAGCCUCUAAGCAUCAGGUAACACGAAAUCGUACCCCAAACCGACACAGGUGGUCAGGUAGAGAAUACCAAGGCGCUUGAGAGAACUCGGGUGAAGGAACUAGGCAAAAUGGUGCCGUAACUUCGGGAGAAGGCACGCUGAUGUGUAGGUGAAGCCCCUGCGGGUGGAGCUGAAAUCAGUCGAAGAUACCAGCUGGCUGCAACUGUUUAUUAAAAACACAGCACUGUGCAAACACGAAAGUGGACGUAUACGGUGUGACGCCUGCCCGGUGCCGGAAGGUUAAUUGAUGGGGUUAGCGGCAACGCGAAGCUCUUGAUCGAAGCCCCGGUAAACGGCGGCCGUAACUAUAACGGUCCUAAGGUAGCGAAAUUCCUUGUCGGGUAAGUUCCGACCUGCACGAAUGGCGUAAUGAUGGCCAGGCUGUCUCCACCCGAGACUCAGUGAAAUUGAACUCGCUGUGAAGAUGCAGUGUACCCGCGGCAAGACGGAAAGACCCCGUGAACCUUUACUAUAGCUUGACACUGAACACUGGUCCUUGAUGUGUAGGAUAGGUGGGAGGCUUUGAAGCGUGGACGCCAGUCUGCGUGGAGCCAACCUUGAAAUACCACCCUUUAAUGGCUGGUGUUCUAACGUAGACCCGUAAUCCGGGUUGCGGACAGUGUCUGGUGGGUAGUUUGACUGGGGCGGUCUCCUCCCAAAGAGUAACGGAGGAGCACGAAGGUUGGCUAAUCCUGGUCGGACAUCAGGAGGUUAGUGCAAUGGCAUAAGCCAGCUUGACUGCGAGCGUGACGGCGCGAGCAGGUGCGAAAGCAGGUCAUAGUGAUCCGGUGGUUCUGAAUGGAAGGGCCAUCGCUCAACGGAUAAAAGGUACUCCGGGGAUAACAGGCUGAUACCGCCCAAGAGUUCAUAUCGACGGCGGUGUUUGGCACCUCGAUGUCGGCUCAUCACAUCCUGGGGCUGAAGUAGGUCCCAAGGGUAUGGCUGUUCGCCAUUUAAAGUGGUACGCGAGCUGGGUUUAGAACGUCGUGAGACAGUUCGGUCCCUAUCUGCCGUGGGCGCUGGAGAAUUGAGGGGGGCUGCUCCUAGUACGAGAGGACCGGAGUGGACGCAUCACUGGUGUUCGGGUUGUCAUGCCAAUGGCACUGCCCGGUAGCUAAAUGCGGAAGAGAUAAGUGCUGAAAGCAUCUAAGCACGAAACUUGCCCCGAGAUGAGUUCUCCCUGAGACUUUAAGUCUCCUGAAGGAACGUUGAAGACGACGACGUUGAUAGGUCGGGUGUGUAAGCGCAGCGAUGCGUUGAGCUAACCGAUACUAAUGAACCGUGAGGCUUAACCUU
rnacentral:rRNA from 2 species